AAAGAAGUUUGGAGUAGGGUCGUCCGUGGCUGGAAGAAGUCUGAAAGGGAUUCGGAGAAUAAUUGAUCACUGUAGAAGAUCGGCUGAUAGUGAAGCCUAGAGAGCUUUUGGAGUGGCUCGGUAGAUGAAUGGAGAAGCUCAUUGUCGGAGAAGUCCGGACGGUAUUAUGGAAGAUCAGACGGUCGAGGGGGUUCAGAGAGAUGCCACAC
rnacentral:lncRNA from 1 species